CCUACGGGGUGCAGCAGUCGAGAAUCAUUCACAAUGGGGGAAACCCUGAUGGUGCGACGCCGCGUGGGGGAAUGAAGGUCUUCGGAUUGUAAACCCCUGUCAUGUGGGAGCAAAUUAAAAAGAUAGUACCACAAGAGGAAGAGACGGCUAACUCUGUGCCAGCAGCCGCGGUAAUACAGAGGUCUCAAGCGUUGUUCGGAAUCACUGGGCGUAAGGCGUGCGUAGGCUGUUUCGUAAGUCGUGUGUGAAAGGCGCGGGCUCAACCCGCGGACGGCACAUGAUACUGCGAGACUAGAGUAAUGGAGGGGGAACCGGAAUUCUCGGUGUAGCAGUGAAAUGCGUAGAUAUCGAGAGGAACACUCGUGGCGAAGGCGGGUUCCUGGACAUUAACUGACGCUGAGGCACGAAGGCCAGGGGAGCGAAAGGGAUUAGAUACCCCGGUAGUC
rnacentral:rRNA from 1 species